CCAAGUUUACAACUCCCAAACCCCUGUGAACAUACCAAUUGUUGCCUCGGCGGAUCAGCCCGCUCCCGGUAAAACGGGACGGCCCGCCAGAGGACCCCUAAGCUCUGUUUCUAUAUGUAACUUCUGAGUAAAACCAUAAAUAAAUCA
rnacentral:misc_RNA from 1 species